rnacentral:rRNA from 1 species
GUAUCAUGGCUCAGGAUGAACGCUAGCUACAGGCUUAACACAUGCAAGUCGAGGGGCAGCAUGUUGGUUGCUUGCAACCAACGAUGGCGACCGGCGCACGGGUGAGUAACGCGUAUCCAACCUUCCGCAGUACUCGGGAAUAGCCUUUCGAAAGAAAGAUUAAUGCCCGAUGGUUUCCCGAAUCCGCAUGAGAACGGGAUAAAGAUUCAUCGGUAUGCGAUGGGGAUGCGUCCCAUUAG